rnacentral:rRNA from 1 species
GCACAACGCGAAGAACCUUACCAAGGCUUGACAUAUAGAAGAACGGGUCAGAAAUGAUCAACUCUUUGGACACUUCUAUACAGGUGGUGCAUGGUUGUCGUCAGCUCGUGUCGUGAGAUGUUCGGUUAAGUCCGGCAACGAGCGCAACCCUCGUCCUAUGUUGCCAGCGGGUUAUGCCGGGGACUCAUGGGAUACUGCCGUGGUCAACACGGAGGAAGGUGGGGAUGACGUCAAAUCAUCAUGCCCCUUAUGUCUUGGGCUUCACGCAUGCUACAAUGGCCGAUACAAAGGGUUGCGAUACCGCGAGGUGGAGCGAAUCCCAGAAAGUCGGUCUCAGUUCGGAUUGGGGUCUGCAACUCGACCCCAUGAAGUCGGAGUCGCUAGUAAUCGCAGAUCAGCAACGCUGCGGUGAAUACGUUCCCGGGUCUUGUACACACCG